rnacentral:tRNA from 1 species
GCUUCCCGAUGGCUGGAUUAGGCACCGGCCUUCUAAGCCGGCGGUUACAGGUUCGAUUCCUGUCGGGCGCGCCA